AAUUUCUAGUUUCCCAAAAAAAAAAAAAAGGAAAUUCAACAAAGCUUCAUUAAGGAGGACAACUACAAAUUCUCAAAAGCUUCACACUAUCUUGAUCAAGAUAGUGUGAAGCAAAAUCAAUUCAUGGUACCCAACAAAAGCUUCAACUCCAAAGCUUCACCAACAAAAGCUUCAUCAAUCUAGGACAACUACAAAUUCUCAAAAGCUUCACACUAUCUUGAUCAAGAUAGUGUGAAGCAAAAUCAAUUCGUGAUACCCAACAAAGCUUCACCACAAAAGCUUCACCAACAAAAGCUUCAUCAAUGGAGGACAACUACAAAUUCUCAAAAGCUUCACAUUAUCUUGAUCAAGAUAGUGUGAAGCAAAAUCAAUUCAUGGUACCCAACAAAAACUUCAACUUCAAAGCUUCACCCAUAAAAGCUUCACCAACAAAAGCUUCACCCACAAAAGCUUCACCAACAAAAGCUUCACCCACC
rnacentral:lncRNA from 1 species